rnacentral:lncRNA from 1 species
AAAACAAAGAAUGAUUGUAAAUAAACUAGGAGACAUCUUGUAAUACAAAGAUGGGAUUUUAGGGAGGAAAAUGUAUAGAUAAUGCUGUUGAAAUUAAUAUUCACUCAUCAUGGUAUAAGGUGGUGAUUAGGCGAAAAAAGAAAAUAAAGAAGGUUUUGCAAUCAUUGUUUCAUGAUCACAUAUGAAAACCCACAAGAUAUAUCUACUGAUUAUCAGAAUUACUACAAGUCAUGAGAGAAAAA